rnacentral:rRNA from 1 species
UACGUAGGGUGCAAGCGUUAAUCGGAAUUACUGGGCGUAAAGCGUGCGCAUGCGGUUUUUGAAGUCUGUCGUGAAAUCCCCGGGCUUAACCUGGGAAUGGCGAUGGAGACUGCAAGGCUAGAGUUUGGCAGAGGGGGGUAGAAUUCCACGUGUAGCAGUGAAAUGCGUAGAGAUGUGGAGGAACACCGAUGGCGAAGGCAGCCCCCUGGGUCAAAACUGACGCUCAUGCACGAAAGCGUGGGGAGCAAACAGG